rnacentral:rRNA from 1 species
GAGUUUGAUCCUGGCUCAGGAUGAACGCUAGCGGCAGGCUUAAUACAUGCAAGUCGUGGGGCAGCAUGUCCCGUAGCAAUACGGGAUGAUGGCGACCGGCAAACGGGUGCGGAACACGUACACAACCUUCCUUCGAGUGGGGAAUAGCCCGGGGAAACCCGGAUUAAUACCCCGUAACAUAAUGGAGUGGCAUCACUUUAUUAUUAUAGCUCCGGCGCUUGAAGAUGGGUGUGCGACUGAUUAGGCAGUUGGCGGGGUAACGGCCCACCAAACCUACGAUCAGUAACUGGUGUGAGAGCACGACCAGUCACACGGGCACUGAGACACGGGCCCGACUCCUACGGGAGGCAGCAGUAAGGAAUAUUGGUCAAUGGACGCAAGUCUGAACCAGCCAUGCCGCGUGGAGGAUGAAGGCCCUCUGGGUUGUAAACUUCUUUUGCCGAGGACGAUGAUGACGGUACUCGGUGAAUAAGCCACGGCUAACUACGUGCCAGCCGCCGCCGUAAG